rnacentral:rRNA from 1 species
AGCAGCCGCGGUAAUUCCAGCUCCAAUAGCGUAUAUUAAAGUUGUUGCAGUUAAAAAGCUCGUAGUUGAAUUUCGGGGUCAGUAGGUUGGUCGUGCCACCGGUACGUACUGGUCUCACUGAUUCCUCCUUCCUGAUGAGCUGUAAUGCCAUUAAUUUGGUGUUGCAGGGAAUCUGGACUGUUACUUUGAAAAAUUAGAGUGUUUAAAGCAGGCUAACGCUUGAAUACAUUAGCAUGGAAUAAUGAAAUAGGACGUUCGAUCCUAUUUUGUUGGUUUCUAGGAUUGACGUAAUGAUUAAUAGGGGUAGUUGGGGGCAUUAGUAUUCAAUUGUCAGAGGUGAAAUUCUUGGAUUUAUUGAAGACUAACUACUGCGAAAGCAUUUGCCAAGGAUGUUUUCAUUAAUCAAGAACGAAAGUUAGGGGAUCGAAGACGAUCAGAUACCGUCGUAGUCUUAACCAUAAACUAUGCCGACUAGGGAUCGGGAUGAUGUUAAUUUUUUAAUGUACUCA